rnacentral:lncRNA from 1 species
AUAUUAUUUAUCAAAUUGAACUUUUGAAUGUUGAUUGAGAGAUCUUUAUAGGAGACAUAUAAAUAGAGUGGACGUUGAAUAGGACUCAAGAGUGAACAAGACUGCCACGGUCUCCCUUUGUACCAUUUCUUCUUCUGGAGGUUGACUAAGGAUAUCAAAUGGCCAACUUCUCAUUCAGGAUCAAAACCCUUUUUAUUGCCAUGCUGGCACUUUAUCUUUCUUGUGAUACUGUAUCAUCUUUCGCAUCUAGUUUUUUGGCAGAGCCAGACUGUAACAGAUACUCAGAGUCACUGCAUAGCUGUAGGAAGAUGUAUGUUCCAAUCUGUGCAUCCAAUGAUUUCACUUAUGGUAAUGUCUGUGCAUUUUGCAAAGCAAUAAGACACACUAACAAUGGAAUUUCUUUCAAACAUUAUGGCCCAUGCUGACUCCUGUGAUGCGGUGCUGUUCACUCAUAGGACACCUCUUAUAAUCCUAUUAUGCUGUUGAAUUCUACAGAAUCUUCUACAGAAUCUUAGUCUCUAGUGCCUUAAAGUUCUAGAUUAGUACUUGAAUAUUGUUUUGGAAACCUGUAUGGACUAUAAGAACUGGAAAAUUCUUGCAAUUCCAAAAUCCUAUAAUUUCAAAAUUUUAAUUAUCUGUCAAUUUCCAAAUACUUUAUGAAAAUCUGAAAAAUCAUCAGUUAAUGUUGAAAGCCUGAAAUUGAGAACUUUUCUGAAUCAUUAAGUAUUUUGAUCAAUAAACUUGUUACAUGGCAUUGACUUUAUUAUUUU